UAGACUAAUUACGUUUGGUGAGAGUGGCGCGACGGUGCGUAACACGUAUGCAACCUACCUUUAACCGGGACACAACCCACCGAAAGGUGAGCUAAUAUCCCAUAACACUGCGAAGUGGCAUCACUUUGCAGUUAAAACUCCGGUGGUUAUUGAUGGGCAUGCGCGACAUUAGCUAGUUGGUGAGGUAACGGCCCACCAAGGCUACGAUGUCUAGGGGUUCUGAGAGGAUUAUCCCCCACACUGGUACUGAGACACGGACCAGACUCCUACGGGAGGCAGCAGUAAGGAAUAUUGGUCAAUGGGCGCAAGCCUGAACCAGCCAUGCCGCGUGAAGGAUGACGGCCCUAUGGGUUGUAAACUUCUUUUGUACGGGAAAAAACCACCGGUCGUGUAUCGGUGCUGAUGGUACCGUAAGAAUAAGCAUCGGCUAACUCCGUG
rnacentral:rRNA from 1 species